GCGCUUGGGGGCGGAGGGUCUUGCGGCUCUGCGCCCCCUUAUCCUAGGAGGCAAGUGUCUUGCGUGUUGCAUUUCGGUGCUUGCGCUUGACCGACCCUCCCGGGCGUACUGAACACCGGCGUGAAUUGCGCCAAGGAACUUGAAUGAAAGAGCGUUUCCCCCGCCGUCCCGGAGACGGUGCUCGUGCGGGUGGUUUCGUCGUCUUCAAUAUGUCUAAACGACUCUCGGCAACGGAUAUCUCGGCUCUCGCAUCGAUGAAGAACGUAGCGAAAUGCGAUACUUGGUGUGAAUUGCAGAAUCCCGUGAACCAUCGAGUCUUUGAACGCAAGUUGCGCCCGAAGCCAUUAGGCCGAGGGCACGUCUGCCUGGGCGUCACACGUCGUUGCCCCCCCCAACCCCCUCGGGAGUUGGAUGGGACGGAUGAUGGCCUCCCGUGUGCUCAGUCACGCGGUUGGCAUAAAUACCAAGUCCUCGGCGACCAACGCCACGACAAUCGGUGGUUGUCAAACCUCGGUUUCCUGUCGUGCGCGCGUGUUGAUCGAGUGCUUUCGUAAAU
rnacentral:rRNA from 1 species